CCUACGGGUGGCAGCAGUGAGGAAUAUUGGUCAAUGGGCGCGAGCCUGAACCAGCCAAGUAGCGUGAAGGAUGACUGCCCUACGGGUUGUAAACUUCUUUUAUAAAGGAAUAAAGUGAGGCACGCGUGCCUUUUUGUAUGUACUUUAUGAAUAAGGAUCGGCUAACUCCGUGCCAGCAGCCGCGGUAAUACGGAGGAUCCGAGCGUUAUCCGGAUUUAUUGGGUUUAAAGGGAGCGUAGGCGGGUGGUUAAGUCAGUUGGGAAAGUUUGCGGCUCAACCGUCAAAUUGCAAUUGAUACUGGCAGUCUUGAGUACAGUUGAGGUAGGCGGAAUGCGUGGUGUAGCGGUGAAAUGCUUAGAGAUCACGAAGAACUCCGAUUGCGAAGGCAGCUUACUAAGCUGCCACUGACGUUGAUGCUCGAAAGUGUGGGUAUCAAACAGGAUUAGAUACCCGGGUAGUC
rnacentral:rRNA from 1 species